UAUAAUAUCAGCAUUUGGAGUGAAUCGAGUUCAUUUUAAAUUUUCUUAAAUUUAUUGAUUAUCAGAUGACAUAGUUAACAGCUUUUGUGAUUUUAAAACAAUUGAAGGUGAGAUUUACAUAAUUAAAUAAUCAAUUGAAAAAUUGAAUUGAGAUGUUAGUUUUACCUGACUGAUUUCUUUGUUGGGUUUAUUACUGCUCGAUGUUAAAACUCAAAAAUGGUUUUUAGGCAAGUGGUGAUCGGCCCGCCUGGGUUAGGAAAGACUACUUAUUGCAAUGGCAUGUCUGAGUUCCUCCAGCUCAUCGGAAGGAAAGUCGUUGUGGUAAAUUUGGAUCAUUCCACCAAUGCAUUGCUGUAUCCAAUGUCGUAUGUUGAGGUUCAAAGCCGAUUUGGGGACUUUGAAAUGGUGGAUGCCGGGCCAGUUACACUACUUCAGUGUUUGAUGAUUUGCUUAAAUGAAAUUGAAUCAUAACCAUGGAGGAUGAUAUCAUAGUGGAUCCAGUGGAGUCUCCAGAGAUUGUUGAUGAUCCAUUCCAAACUAUGUGAGUUUUCAAGUUGAAAAGUGGGAGUCCCAACUUUUAGCUCAGAGAAAAACUCUUGAUUGAAUAAAAUACUGAAGAGUCAAUUUAACAUCAGCAGAUAUGAGGGAUUCUGAUUUUAGUGGUUCAACUUUCAAACAUGGAGAAAGCUGUCACAUAUAAGGCAAACUUUGAGGAAGAGCACAGUAGCAUGUGCUUUGGGUGGGAGUUUGUACCACAGGGGAAGCUGUCGUACAUUCUUGAAGCAGAACAUCAUGCAGAGAACAUUCGGAGGAUUGGAACCAUGGGUGAAGAAAAUGGGUCCAAAUUCAGAGCUGCGUUCUUCUUCCCUCAAAAUAAGAAGAAAACACUUCCUCAGCACCAUAUUUUGGCACCUCAGGAUCAACUUGGGAAAGAACAGAAUAGAGCAGAGCACAAGCAUUAUCAAUUUAUUUGCUAAAGUAUUGCAGGCUUACAGCUAUCUUCCGAUGAGUUUGCACGCCACACCAAGCUUACAAUGGGUUUGCACGCCUGUAAAGCUCCAUCUUCCUCUUUCCUUCCCUCCAUUUUUUUAUUAUAAGUUUCGUGGUAACAUCAAUUUGUACAUCGAUCAAAUAGGAGCAGCUAUAUUUUGAACAACUAGUUAUGUAUGUAGAGUUGUCAACAACUAUUAUAUACAUUUUAUGAAUGCUUUGUACUUGUUUUGUAUAAGUACUUUUUACAUGUUUA